UACAGAGGGGGCAAGCGUUGUUCGGAAUUACUGGGCGUAAAGGGCGCGUAGGCGGCCUUCUAAGUCGAACGUGAAAUCCCCGGGCUCAACCCGGGAACUGCGUCCGAGACUGGAAGGCUUGAAUUCGGGAGAGGGAUGCAGAAUUCCAGGUGUAGCGGUGAAAUGCGUAGAUAUCUGGAGGAAUACCGGUGGCGAAGGCGGGUCUCUGGACAGUUCCUGACACUGAGGCACGAAGGCCAGGGGAGCAAACGGG
rnacentral:rRNA from 1 species